AUUGAACGCUGGCGGCAUGCUUUACACAUGCAAGUCGAACGGCAGCGCGGGCUUCGGCCUGGCGGCGAGUGGCGAACGGGUGAGUAAUGCAUCGGAACGUGCCCAGUAGUGGGGGAUAGCCCGGCGAAAGCCGGAUUAAUACCGCAUACGACCUGAGGGUGAAAGCGGGGGACCGAAAGGCCUCGCGCUAUUGGAGCGGCCGAUGUCGGAUUAGCUAGUUGGUGGGGUAAAGGCUUACCAAGGCGACGAUCCGUAGCUGGUCUGAGAGGACGACCAGCCACACUGGGACUGAGACACGGCCCAGACUCCGACGGGAGGCAGCAGUGGGGAAUUUUGGACAAUGGGGGCAACCCUGAUCCAGCCAUGCCGCGUGCGGGAAGAAGGCCUUCGGGUUGUAAACCGCUUUUGUUCGGGAAGAAAACCUCUGGGCUAAUACCCCGGGGGGAUGACGGUACCGGAAGAAUAAGCACCGGCUAACUACGUG
rnacentral:rRNA from 1 species